ACACGUGCCUUAUUGAAUUCUACGAGUACUAUUCUAUUUCAUUCAAUUUUGUGCUUUUGGAAAUCAAAUUGGAUAUUUCAUUUGGAAAUUUUCAAAUAAAAUGCCACGACCAAGGCGUACUAAUAUUAGUCGCCGUACACGUAAUGCUUAUACUUUAAGGUCAAACAUUGCAAAGUGAGGAAGAGCGUGCACAAAUUAAUGCAGAUAGAGGAGAUCGAUAUGUACGAAAUCGAAACUGACCUAAUCGAUCUCUUGAUAGGCAGCCACCUCGAAAUCAGCCAAUGCGAGCGGGAUAUUGUCUUUUGCAGCAAACGCUCCUUGCUGCGAUAGUGCGAUUGAUUACAGUGCAUCGGGCUGUAUUGGUGGAAUGACGGUGAG
rnacentral:sRNA from 1 species